rnacentral:tRNA from 1 species
GGGCGAGUGGAGGAAUGGUAUACUCGACGGACUUAAAAUCCGUUGGCCGAUAAGGCCGUAAGGGUUCGAAUCCCUUCUCGCCCA